ACUUUCAGUAGGGAGGAAGGUAGUGUAGUUAACACCUGCAUUAUUUGACGUUACCUACAGAAGAAGCACCGGCUAACUCCGUGCCAGCAGCCGCGGUAAUACGGAGGGUGCGAGCGUUAAUCGGAAUUACUGGGCGUAAAGCGCAUGCAGGCGGCCUGUUAAGUCAGAUGUGAAAGACCCGGGGCGUUAACCUCGGAAUUGCAUUUGAAACUGGCAGGCUAGAGUCUUGUAGAGGGGGGUAGGAAUUUCAGGUGUAGCGGUGAAAUGCGUAGAGAUCUGAAGGAAUACCAGUGGCGAAGGCGGCCCCCUCGGACAAAGACUGACGCUCAGAUGCGAAAGCGUGGGGAGCAAACAGGAUUAGAUACCCUGGUAG
rnacentral:rRNA from 1 species